CUGGAAAGUUUGGAUCCCCUCGUUUGCCCAUCGCGAGACUGCCUUUGUUUCCGUUUAGAUAUUUCGUCUUCUUCUUCAUUUCGCCCUUCGAGAAGAGAGGGAGAUUCCUUUCCUUCUCUCUCUCUCUGCGAGCCUCUUUGAAGCUAUUGGAGAAGAAGCCUUUUGAAGCUUCUUUACCUGAGAGUCGCAUUGCAGAGAGAGAUCUAGCCUCGUGUACUACAUUUCUUGCGAUUCUUCGCCUGCAGAAAGGAGAGGGGAAAUUACCGCACGAUUCGGACUCAUAUGGCGGUUUCUAGGGCAUCUUUUGGAUUCGUGGCUGCCGCUGCGCUCGUCUUCACCAUCUUCUUGCCGGUUGCUCAGCCUCAGUCUUUGGCUCCGGCUCCCGCUCCCACCAGCGACGGUACAUCCAUAGAUCAAGGGAUAGCUUAUAUCUUAAUGGGGGUGGCAUUGGCGCUCACAUAUCUCAUCCACAGUGCUGACUUAGCCAGCAGCAGCAGCAGCUUCUAGGAUCAUAACAGUAUUUGGGAGUUUAGUUAGAAAUGGCAAUGGGUUCUUCUCGUGCUGCAUCCUUUCCCGUUUCUGUUUUGGUUUUUUUUUUAUUUAUUUAUUAGAUCAUCAUCCUCACACAUUUCUUCUAUGUACAUUCUCCUCAUUUUUAAAUCACAUUUAUUGGCUUUCCCUUUUUCCC